GCUUUCCUGUGGCUCAGUUGGUAGAGCAUUGCAAACAAUGCAAAGUUUGUGGGUUUCAAUCCCAGGGAAAGCA